CAUCAAAUUAACAUAACAGCAUGGGUGUGAAAUAAUAAUUCAAAUUCUAUUCAUUUAUCACCAACCUCAGUUGGUUGUACACUAUAUACUUCAACAUGAGCAGCAAGUCCGCAACUCCCUCCUGGAGAAAACCAGAAAGCGCCUGCCAAGUACGUCAUACUCACUGAUAAUUACUGCGAUGGGAAGUUAUUACGUCAGCCCAUAAGUGAUCUUGGGUUAUUGGAGAAUCACAAUCAAACAGUUUUAUAUUCAAUUGGCCACCUAGUUCCGGUAUUUUGAGCUGAAGUAUUGUGAACACCUGACAAAAAUGUAUCAUUACAAGGAAUGAGAAAUUGUCACAAUAAAAAAA
rnacentral:misc_RNA from 1 species